rnacentral:rRNA from 1 species
UCAUGCGCGUGCAGAGACGCCUAUGGGUGACGCUUGUACCCGGAAGAAAAACCCUUUUUUCCCCCCCUUGGCCGNGGGGNAAGAAAGCUGAUCGUACGGUGAGAAUAAGCAUCGGCUAACUUCGUGCCAGCAGCCGCGGUAAGACGAAGAUGCAAGCNGUUAUCCCCGGAUUCAUUGGGUUUAAAGGGAGCGUAGCGGCUAUAAGUCAGUGGUGAAAUCUCUCGGCUUAACUGA